rnacentral:misc_RNA from 1 species
CAACUGCGAUAAUUAGUGCGAACUGCAGAUAUUUUGAGCACUGAAGUUUCGAAUGCACAUUGCGCCAUUGGAUUUUAUCCUUUGGCACGUCUGGCUCAGGGUCGUAAAUACAAAACCCCAAACAAAUGGUGGUGAUAUGACCUGUGCUAGACUGCUGUCGCAUCAGCCCAGCACUUGCUUUUUGUGCAGCCUUUGGGCCGAUUUGAUAGCGCUCUCACUAGAGCAAAAACCUGCUCACACUUCGGUAACAUAGCUGUAAGUCCUAGCGAUUUGUAUGGACGUAAGCUAUUGAGCCGAAGUGUAAGGCAAGCAGUCGAUUUUUCGACCUGAACUCAGACGUGAUUACCCGCUGAACUUAA